rnacentral:rRNA from 1 species
UACGUAGGGUGCAAGCGUUGUUCGGAAUUAUUGGGCGUAAAGCGCGUGUAGGUGGUUAGUUAAGUCGAUUGUGAAAUCCCUGGGCUCAACCGAGGAAGUGCAGUCGAAACUAAUUAGCUAGAGGACGGUAGAGGAAGGUGGAAUUCCUAGUGUAGAGGUGAAAUUCGUAGAUAUUAGGAGGAAUACCGGCGGCGAAGGCGGCCUUCUGGGCCGUUCCUGACACUGAGACGCGAAAGCGUGGGUAG